CGGGGUGUAGUAUAAUGGCAUUACGCGGGCAUCGGGAGCCUGUAACCCGGGUUCAACUCCCGGCACCCCGACCA
rnacentral:tRNA from 1 species